UACAGAGGUCUCAAGCGUUGUUCGGAUUCAUUGGGCGUAAAGGGUGCGUAGGUGGCGCCGUAAGUCGGAUGUGAAAUUUCGGAGCUUAACUCCGAAACUGCAUUCGAUACUGCGGUGCUUGAGGACUGGAGAGGAGACUGGAAUUCAUGGUGUAGCAGUGAAAUGCGUAGAGAUCAUGAGGAAGACCAGUGGCGAAGGCGGCAUCCUGGACCAACACUGACACUGAGGAGCGAAAGCCAGGGGAGCAAACGGG
rnacentral:rRNA from 1 species